GCCACAGUGAAACACACGGAGAUAAAACAGAGCCGAUAGUGGCGUUAGCUUUUCUUUUCUUUUUUUUUCUUUGAAGAAUUUAAAGAAAUCAACAUGAAGUCCGAUGAAAAGAUGGAGGAUCAGCGCAGACUGCUGGGUUUCAGCCGGAUACCGAAGAUCAUCUUACACCGGAUAGAUUUUUUAUACACAAGACAGUGAUAGCAAAACGUGUUUCAGACAGAAUGGAUCAGGAGAGGAAAACUACAGAACCUGAAGAACCAGGCACCAGUGUGUCUUCAUCCCUCAAUCAUCUCCUGAGACUGAAAAAUAAUAGAAAUGGCAACUUAAAGAACAAAUCUUACUAAUAAAUUAAUAGAGUAAAUAAAUAUCGCGAAGGGAAAUUGUUAAUUUUUUUCUGCAUUAAAGUUUGUUAGGGCUUUCAGUGUAGGAAAAAUGUUGAUAUCUUUUAUAAAUACGAUGUUCUGUGGUCAAUAUUAUUUCCCCAUUAUUUUAUUAAUGUAGGUUGCUUGUUUGGAUAACCUUCAUUCUUAUCAGGCUGUAAAAAUGAAGUAAAACAUGGUAACAAAAUGCCUCAGACCUGCAGCCUACCGGUGGUUCCAGACAGGUGGAAGUGGCUCUUUGGCUCACUUAUAUAUUAAAUGAUGAAAUAUU